rnacentral:rRNA from 1 species
GGUUACUGCUAUCGGUGUUCGCCUAAGCCAUGCGAGUCAUAUGUUCGUAAGAACAUGGCGUACUGCUCAGUAACACGUGGAUAACCUGCCCUUGGGUCCGGCAUAACCCCGGGAAACUGGGGAUAAUUCCGGAUAACGCACAUAUGCUGGAAUGCUUUUUGCGUAAAAUGGAUUCGUCUGCCCAAGGAUGGGUCUGCGGCCUAUCAGGUAGUAGUGGGUGUAAUGUACCUACUAGCCUACGACGGGUACGGGUUGUGAGAGCAAGAGCCCGGAGAUGGAUUCUGAGACAUGAAUCCAGGCCCUACGGGGCGCAGCAGGCGCGAAAACUUUACAAUGCGGGAAACCGUGAUAAGGGGACACCGAGUGCCAGCAUCCUAUGCUGGCUGUCCGGGUGUGUAAAAUACACCUGUUAGCAAGGGCCGGGCAAGACCGGUGCCAGCCGCCGCGGUAACACCGGCGGCCCGAGUGGUGAUCGUGAUUAUUGGGUCUAAAGGGUCCGUAGCCGGUUUGGUCAGUCCUCCGGGAAAUCUGACAGCUCAACUGUUAGGCUAUCGGAGGAUACUGCCAGACUUGGAACCGGGAGAGGUAAGAGGUACUACAGGGGUAGGAGUGAAAUCUUGUAAUCCCUGUGGGACCACCUGUGGCGAAGGCGUCUUACCAGAACGGGUUCGACGGUGAGGGACGAAAGCUGGGGGCACGAACCGGAUUAGAUACCCGGGUAGUCCCAGCCGUAAACGAUGCUCGCUAGGUGUCAGGCAUGGCGCGACCGUGUCUGGUGCCGCAGGGAAGCCGUGAAGCGAGCCACCUGGGAAGUACGGCCGCAAGGCUGAAACUUAA